rnacentral:rRNA from 1 species
CACGUAGGGGGCAAGCGUUGUCCGGAUUUAUUGGGCGUAAAGGGUAGGUAGGUGGUCUCAUUUGUCUGGGGUGAAAGCCUUGAGCUUAACUCAAGAAGUGCCCUAGAAACGGUGAGACUGGAGUCCUGGAGAGGGUCGUGGAAUUCCCGGUGUAGCGGUGAAAUGCGUAGAGAUCGGGAGGAACACCAGCGGCGAAGGCGGCGACCUGGACAGGUACUGACACUCAACUACGAAAGCGUGGGGAGCAAACAGG